GAAAUGCGAUAAGUAAUAUGAAUUGCAGAAUUCAGUGAAUCAUCGAAUCUUUGAACGCACAUUGCGCCCGCCAGUAUUCUGGCGGGCAUGCCUGUUCGAGCGUCAUUUCAACCAUCAAGCCCCCGGCUUGUGUUGGGGACCUGCGGCUGCCCGCAGGCCCUGAAAAACAGUGGCGGGCUCGCUGUCACACCGAGCGUAGUAGCAUACAUUCUCGCUCAGGGCGUGCUGCGGGUUCCGGCCGUUAAACGACCUUCAUAACCCAAGGUUGACCUCGGAUCAGGUAGGAAGACCCGCUGAACUUAAGC
rnacentral:misc_RNA from 1 species